rnacentral:misc_RNA from 1 species
GAAAAUUUGUUAUAAUGGAGCUGUUGGGUGAGAUGCGUCAUGGUACGAUAGUGCUAUCAAGGCCAAAAUAAUUGUUCUGUUCGACCCUCCACUGGGGAGAAUGACAGGCCUAAACUAGGGGAGGUUGUCAAAUCCAAGUUCCACAUCGAUAGUUCAAUGGGAAGCUCUUUGGAUUUUUUCUUUCCGAAGCUUAUUAAGCUAUAACAAAUCUUUACAUUAUCUUUAGUUGGUUUUCUUUGUUUAAUUGUUCAUAUCUUUUUCAAUAAAAUGUUAAAACCAUCUGACAAAAUUUCCACUUGCUAGGCAUAUUACUCAUGCAUAUGGCAUAAUUGAUUUUGUCAUUAUCAGAUGACUCUUAAUCUACAUGGCUGUGAGUUAAUUGUUCCUGAGUCACUUGCCACAUUUGUUUUUUAAC